AGAGCUUGUUUGAAACGUCUCCAGAAGGAGUAUCAUGCACUUUGCAAGGCUUUGCUCAUCCUCUUCCUUGAUGAGGUUACCUUUAGUCAUCAGGAAACCCUUUAUUUUCUGCUGACCUGCUGAAAUACUUUAGGUAUAAAUUUUUUUCCCAGUGCCAACCUAAGGCUUCUGACAUUCCUACAAAGAAGUUCCUGUUCUACACUGUAUGCGAGAGGCAAACACUGUUGCAGAUGCACUAUCUAAACUGGGUCAUGUUCUUCCUCAAAUCCAUUUGUUCUUUGUAAUUAAUGAUACAAAUUUGAUAUUGUUGUUUCUAGUUUUCUUGAUGUAAUCUGUUUUUGAGAGACUUUAUGUACUUGGGUAUGCAAGAGGAAGUUUGUAAAUUAACGCUUUUAGCACUCAAGGGGAAAUGGAAAAAUAGACUUUUAUGUUGA